AUGGAAGAGCCGAGAGCACCCGCGGAGGAACGGAGGGAGACAGGGUGUCAGGCGCCGCUGGCGGGAGGCCACCCUGGAGCAGGAGAGACCAAAGACUCAGACGACCCAAACACCUCACCUUGGAGGUCCCCAGCGAGAAAAUGGCAUUGCUAUUCCUGACUGAUGGUGACAUAGUAGCCAGACUGCUGAUUCCCACAGCAUACUCUGCAUGAACCACUGCAGGAAAGGAAGAGUUCAAAACACAUCCCAUGAAGAAAUAAAUAUCAAUUGAUGUGAUUUUUUUCUUACAAAACAAAUAUUCUGUUAUUAUUGUAAGCAUUUUUACUGUUAGUGUUAAUUUUGUAUUAUUUCUUAAUGUUGAAUUAUUUAAGUAUACACUUUCCUUUUAUCCUUCAUUUAUU